AGGGGAACAGCUCAGAGGCAGAGCGCAUGCUCAGCAUGCACGAGGUCCUGGGUUCAAUCCCCAGUACCUCCA
rnacentral:tRNA from 1 species